UACCGAGGUCCCAAGCGUUGUUCGGAUUCACUGGGCGUAAAGGGUGCGUAGGCGGUCGGGUAAGUCUGAUGUGAAAUCUCACAGCUUAACUGUGAAACUGCAUUGGAUACUAACCGGCUAGAGGAAUGGAGGGGAGACUGGAAUACUUGGUGUAGCCGUGAAAUGCGUAGAUAUCAAGUGGAACACCAGUGGCGAAGGCGAGUCUCUGGACAUUUCCUGACGCUGAGGCACGAAAGCCAGGGGAGCAAACGGG
rnacentral:rRNA from 1 species